ACGAAUCCAAAAAUAAUAAGAACAAACUACAAGACACAAUGAAAAAUUAUGUAAUAAAAAACACUAAUGAACAAAUAGUACUCAUGAAAUCAAAUAUUACAAAAGAAAAAGACUCAAAAGCUUAUACAAAUUUUAUGACAAAAUCACUGAUAUCUGGUGUGUGCUUCUAAGAGGCAUUUUAACAAAUAUACAAUAAGUGAAAAACUAUAAUUAUGUGAAAAGAAAAUAUUUGAAUACUUA
rnacentral:lncRNA from 1 species